GACGAACGCUGGCGGCGUGCCUAAUACAUGCAAGUAGAACGCUGAAGAGAGGAGCUUGCUCUUCUUGGAUGAGUUGCGAACGGGUGAGUAACGCGUAGGUAACCUGCCUUGUAGCGGGGGAUAACUAUUGGAAACGAUAGCUAAUACCGCAUAACAAUGGAUGACACAUGUCAUUUAUUUGAAAGGGGCAAUUGCUCCACUACAAGAUGGACCUGCGUUGUAUUAGCUAGUAGGCGAGGUAAUGGCUCACCUAGGCGACGAUACAUAGCCGACCUGAGAGGGUGAUCGGCCACACUGGGACGGAGACACGGCCCAGACUCCUACGGGAGGCAGCAGUAGGGAAUCUUCGGCAAUGGGGGCAACCCUGACCGAGCAACGCCGCGUGAGUGAAGAAGGUUUUCGGAUCGUAAAGCUCUGUUGUAAGUCAAGAACGGGUGUGAGAGUGGAAAGUUCACACUGUGACGGUAGCUUAACAGAAAGGGACGGCUAACUACGUG
rnacentral:rRNA from 1 species